ACCUGAGUGGCUCAGUGGUUGAGCAUCUGCCUUUGGCUCAGGUUGUGGUCCUGGAAUUCCAGGAUCGAGUCCUGCAUCAGGUU
rnacentral:tRNA from 1 species